CCGACCGUUUGUGAGACGCUGGUGUGGUCGCUGUCUUGCAAUUAAAUUCGUGUAGCGAGUCGGAGAAAAGAAGUUUCCCCAGUCGGUCCUUUAAGUCAUUCUUUUCAUCUGCAUUACGUGCAUUAGUUUGGCAGGUUUGGAUCGUUGUGCGAACCGUGCCGCAGCAACGCAGCUGCAACUGCAGGGCCACAUUUAAUAUCCCGCGCCACUCCAAGCAAGGUACUCGGGGUAAAAGUUUUAACAGUUUCCCGUUUUAAUUAUUGAUAACCGUGCCGUGCUUUUUCGUGUCGCAAUUGUCCCACGCGGUCUGUGCAAACUACGUGCGCUACACGCCACCUCUAGCACGCAGCAUGGCGGGCCCGUUUAAUUCCAGCAGUCGAACGCUGAUGGCACUGCUGCUGUUCCAAGGUGCAGCACUCGUCGUGCGUUCCGACGAACCGAAACGUGAUGCAAACUAUCCACCGCCGGAAUUGCUCGAGAAGAUGAAACCGAUGCACGAUGCCUGCGUGGCCGAGACGGGUGUGUCCGAAGAUGCCAUCCGGCGGUUUAGCGAUCAGGACAUUCACGAGGACGACAAGCUAAAGUGCUACAUGAACUGUCUGUUCCAUCAGGCGGGCGUGGUGAAUGACAAGGGCGAGUUUCAUUAUGUGAAAAUUCAAGACUUUCUGCCCGAAUCGAUGCACCUCAUCACGCUGAACUGGUUCAAGCGGUGCCUGUAUCCGGAGGGCGAAACAGCCUGCGAUAAGGCGUUCUGGCUCAACAAGUGCUGGAAAACGAAGGAUCCGGUGCACUACUUCCUACCCUAGGGUGUCGUGGAAUCGAACGAUGCGUUGGGACUUGUUUCGAGAUCCAUCAACCGGACCUUCAGUCCAGGCAGUAAAGAGCUCCAUUUCGCUUUAGUUAAAAGAGGGCCCCACAUAAAACAACAAUGGAAUCGAAUGGUGUUAUCGGGUUCCCGAGGGCUGCCCAUUCGGUGGAGUUCAGCGUCCAACAAUUUCCGGCAUCCGUAUGAUUAGAGAAAGCAAUCUCCUUUCCACACAACCAGCAGUCCAGGCAGCUUAGGACGCUGUCGUUUUUUUUUUCUUUGGCCGUAAUCUUCAGGCGGCCCGCGGGCAAUGACGUUGAGUUGAAGUACGACGCUUCUUCCGGCAUCCACCUCCAUCCACAGGACGAACCGGUGAGAACGAUGCAAAAAUUUGGAAUAUCAUUAAUCAAAGUUUCGACCAACGGCGAAAGAAUAUGGCUCCAUGGGCAAUUAAAGCAACAAAAAGAAACCAAAAAAAAAGGUAGUAACAAGCAAGGGAAAAUGUGCGAGCGAGCAACACCCUGGCCAAGUGCAGCAAGAAACGAAAAACACUGUAAAACUUCCUUGGCUGAUAAAGUAUCGCCGUAAUCAAGCAAAUUAAAAUGUAAAUGAAGAGUACCGCGCGGUACAAGUUUUACGCAGCUUCUUGCCGUCCCUGUGGCGGCGGCGAUGGGCCACAACUGCAAUCGCACAUCCAUUUGACUAAUUAAAAACAAAACAAAACAAAAAUGGCAACAACACCCUUCGCACGCUGGGGCCCGAUUGUGCUGCACCCGGGUGCAGUGGUACAGUUCGCAAGUGCAUAGCAAAACACAAAGCAACAAUAAAAUCAGCGCACAAUUCAAAGGACAGUACGUACGCGUCCCUCAUUACCUGAGUUCUGGGUGGGUAAAAUGGAUAAAAAAACGAAAGCAGCAGCAGAUUUUGCAUUCAAAUCACAACUCGUGGACAAGGGGAGCUCAUGGUUUUAGUGUAAUGCGCAUUGCAUAGCUUUUGGCGUUUAAAAUUUAAUUUGCAGCACUGCGAAGUAUUCAUUGGACGCAAUAGCUAAUUUAUGUUUUAAUUUUAAUUAUUAAAUGAUUAAAAAUGAGAUAAGACACUCGAAAAGGCCCCUUCUGACGAAAUUUGCUCAUCACUAUAUGCUAGUCGCCUAAAUGUAUGCAAAGCGCAACACAUGUUGCAAAGGCUGCACAGUACCUUUUCUGUGGGCUCAACAAUAGUUGAAUAAAGUGAAGGAAAAUGUAGCUAAAGUU